AUGCGGGCGGCGGAUGCCCACGAGAGCGGCACCAAGCUGAUGGACGACGGCCGCGGGAACCAGGCACACUGCACAGCGCCCACCCCGGGCCACCUGCCCGGCCACUCUACGGUGGCGCCAUGUUACAGAGGAAGAAGCCGGCAGGCAGACGGGAAGGACUUGCUCCAGGCACCGCCGGGCCAGGGCUGGGGCGCGGCUCCCCACUGCACUGCCAAGGACACGCUCGGACGGAGGCCUCUGCUGCCCGGCCGCCCCAGAAGGGACUUCCCGGACGAUCCGCCGGCUCGGCUUCACCCCUUGGAAGUCCGUCGGCCGCCCGAGAAGGCCAAGGGUCGGGGUGAGCCUCGUCCAGCCUGCCCAGGGCCGCUUCUCCUUCUGGCCUUGCGUGCGAGCUGGACGUGGCCUCCAGGCUCGCCUCUCCUCUGGCGCUCCUCCUGCCAGGCCUGCUCGCCUCCGGGGGUGCACGUGGGUUCUUGGCUUGCUUUUCCCAGACUUCACCACCUGGAUGACGGUUUCUUGUUUCGCCCUCCCACGUUCGCAGUGUCUCUUCUGUCCAUUCUUCCCUCCCUCUGUUUCUCGGGGCUCUCCCUUCUCUCAGGGCCUUCUCAGGACUCCCCCUUCUCUCAGGGCCUUCUCAAGGACCCCUUCUUUCGGGGCCUUCUCAGGGCUCCCCCUUCUCUCAGGGCCUUCUCAGGGGCCCUCCUUCUCAGGGCCUUCUCGGGGCCCCCUUCUUUCGGGGCCCCCCUUCUUUCAGGGCCUUCUCGGGGCCCCCCUUCUUUCAGGGCCUUCUCGGGGCCCACCUUCUUUCAGGUCUUCUCAGGCUCCCCUUCUCUCAGACUUCUCGGGCCCCCU
rnacentral:lncRNA from 1 species